AUGCAUAGGACAAGAAAUAAUUUCAGAGAUUUCAAACAAGGCAACCACAUCUUUGUUUCAUCUCUGCCAAACCAGUUUCAAUGUCUUCUUCCAAAUCAAGGCAAAACAAACUCGUGUCCACGUCUUCUUCAUCGAUUAAAAGCCGAAUUGGAAGACUAUGUGGGUGUCUUGCAUUUUGAGCGAUUUUUCAUUGUAGCUUUGCCUUUGCAUCUCCUGUUUUUUCCAAGUACCAUUUAUUUUUCAUUUGUUUAG